rnacentral:pre_miRNA from 1 species
AAUAAACCAAUUUUUCACUUUUUAUCUAUAAUUUUUGACUCUUUGUCUUAUUUAAUUUUUUUGCGAUUGAUAUUUUUGUUUUUAUUAGAUGAUAAAUUAUGAAUAAUAUUUUACAUGUGACUAAUUUUCUUUUAAUUUUCUAAAAUUUUUUCAAAUAAGACGGAUAGUCAAUCGUUCGAUAUGGAAACCGGAG